GCUGCCUAUUUUGGGCUUGAUCCUGCAAUCUUUACUUGGGUGAAUAGUCCUACUGGACCCAAUGGGGCUGCUUCUGUGAGCAAAGCUUACUCACGUGUUGUGUUGCCAACGCUCGCAACUUCAUCAUGAGUCUUGCAAUGUUUGCUGUUUUUCUUGGAGCCCCAACUGCUUGAAUCAGGAGGUUACAUGAGACUCUCAGUGUUCAUUUAAAAUGAAAAAAGCACAGUAGUAGUAGUAGUUUCUACUCCCUCAUAACAGAGGUGAAAAGCUUGAAAACAUGAAGGGGAGGAAAUGGUCUCUGAACAUAGACUGAGGAGCGUCAUGUGACAAUGAUCUAUUCCAACUCCCAGCAGACAUACCACUGGCUCCAGAGGAAUUUAAAUGCCAUUGUAUCAGCAUGCAUCUGUGUGAGUACAUCUGUCCACUAAUAAUUCCUCAUUGCCAAAACAUAUGAGUAAGUCAAGGUCUGUCUACUGUGCAUCUAAUACAAACCCACUGGACUAAUGGGGACCCCCUCCCACAAACACUUGAACAUGCUGCUGGGAUUGAACAGGAGCAUUCCUUGCCCUUCGUGAAGAAUUUGAUGUUGGGAAUACAGCUAUGUCAACAUAGGUUUAAAGCAAGUAGGGAGGGACUGCCCGAACCUGCCCUCGGCCAGGAUGCUGCAGCUGGGGAACAGCUCUAGAGGGGAUUGAAUUCAGACUGCUAACCACUUUUUCUGCUCAGACAACUGGCAGAAGAAUGUUAUCUGCUAGGAAACUCAGCCUUAUACCGGAGAGCUAUGUCCAUUUACCUGAGAGUUUUUCUCUGUUGAUUGAUCACCAUGGCUGUUUUCAUCUACUUCUUCCACAUCAUCAAAGUCACCAGAAUCCUCGUGAUCAGCCCAAUUCUUAUGCCGAACCUGCUUAAUUCGGAAACUAUCCUGUUCUUCAUAGUCCUGAGUGCUCCUGGCAUCGACAUCAUCUGGAUGACUUUCAGAGCUGCUGCUAGAAACCACAGCUGGGUCAUGGUUUUCUUCAUCAAUGUCAUCAUGCUCAUCAGCAUUGGAGUCCUCUCCUCCAGUUUCUGCACUACUUUUAGGACUGCUGUAAGUAUCGUCAGCAGAAUCUGCCUCCUCAUUCAGACUUUCUUCGCUUAUUGUGUCCUGUACAAAAAGGCAAAAUUAAGGGACUUUGAUUAAGCAAAUGUUUUGUUGCAGUUUUACUGAUUACAUUGUAAGGGCCACAUUGUGUCCACUGGUGUAAAAUAAACUGCUUAUUACUGUUUGGCUUUGGGUCAGGCAAGCAGUAUGAAGACUCUUAAUUACCAGUUCCUCUGCACUGCUUUUAUGUAUUUCUAAUGAACUACAUCUUGCCUUAUGCAAGAAACC